AAGGAUAAGGUAAUAAAGUCCAUUUGGUUCAAGCCCGGUACCAAUGAUUCUCCCCGUAGUGCAUUCCUGUAUAAAAACAAGGUGAUCAGGAAAUAAAACAGAGGAUUUAAGUGAUUUGGUUAAGCGAGUAACGGCUAUGAGACUAAAAUGACUAAUGGGAACAUAAAGAACUGAAUCUAAAGGUAAGGAAGGAAGUGGACUUGCUUGACCUAUUCCAGUUGCCAUGGUUUGAGAUCCGUUGGCCAUUGUGACUGUUGGAAGAGAUUGAUAUGAAAUAGCAGUGAAAAGAGAUUUGUUACUAGAAAUGUAAUCAAAUGCACUUGAAUCAGUGACCCAAGAAUCGGAGGAUGAAGGGGAGACGCAAGCCACGCUAUUACCUGUUUGAACAAUGGAAGUUAUCUCGGAAGAUAUCUGUUUAUAUACUUUGUACUGAAGGAACUCAAUAUAAUCUGGUAGAGAAACCAUCCAACUAUCAUAGUAUUAGAUCUCAUUUCGCUACAACCAAUUUCUCAAAUUCUUGACUAAAACUUAUAUGGUUAACCUUAGAAUGCCAAAUCAGAACAAGUUAAGUUGGAGACUUCCAUUUUUUUCUUAGUUAGAGGGAGUUGGAGAGGGACGACCUCUGAAAACCAAGUUCUUUCCUUGAAAUAGUAAAAGGCUUAAGAAAUAUAUUAGAUAACACCUCUAUCAGAAUCUCAGAGUUACUGUGCGAGUCAGCUGUCCCGAAGGACCUCCGUCAUAACAGUGUUUUAAAAAGCGCUCGCUUCG
rnacentral:lncRNA from 1 species